rnacentral:lncRNA from 1 species
UCCACCAAGCUGAACAUUGGCAGUUCAUAUUCAGACAACUUCUCUCCGGAUAGUCAGAGCAGUGUACAUUUUUGGGACAAUGAGCUGGUUACAAAACCUGGUUCCAGCUCCUUGACAAAAGUUUGUGUCAAUUCUUUCCAGCUAUUUGGUAAGGUCAUCCAUGUUGAACCUGUUGAAGGAGGUUUUGAUGGUUUCGGUUGCUCUGAAAAUGAUAGCAUUGAAGCGUUUAAACAGAUAGAUGGUGCAGUCAAGUCUAACAUUUCUCUGAGUAAACCUUAUAUCGAGCUGUUUGACAGUCUUGAUGUCCAACACCAAAGAGCCUCAGCUGUCGAAGCAUGUUCCUUAUGAGAUAGCUAUGAUCCGUAAGUACCAUCAAUCGGAAAGCUGUACAGGUAAAGUACUACUUGACUGGACUAUGCCUUGACAGAACAGAAAGAGCUACUAGAACUUGCAGAUUGAUAUCUUUACACUUUCUACUAUAUAUUAAUUAUUCAUUUCUGGUUCAUUUUAUUUAUAUCUGAAGAUAUGAGAUUUUCGAGUACUGACAAUGAGCUGGUUGCAAAACCGGGUUCCAGCUCCUUGACAAAAGUUCGUGUCAACUCUUUCCAGCUAUUUGGUAAGGUCAUCCAUGUUGAACCUGUUGAAGGAGGUUUUGAUGGUUUCGGUUGCUCUGAAAAUGAUAGCAUUGAAGUGUUUAAAGAGAUAGAUGGUGCAGCCAAGUCUAACAUUUCU